GUUGAGUGCUUGCUUGCCAUUGAAUAGCAGAGUAAUGUCAGGCAGAGAGCAUGGGGGUACAUGAGCACAGCGAGCCGAGCUGAGCGCCUCGUCGUACCAAAGCACAGUGGCUAAUGUUCAACGAUGCAGUCGUGUCAAAACAAAUCAGAUCACAAGCAGCGCUGGCUGGCUUUGCUCAAUUUGUAGGGUAGUUUUUAUCAUCCCUGCCUUGCGAUUAAUGCUUCUGAUAAGCACAGGGGGAGUUCCUCUGUAUAGCUAAAAGUGUGCUUUAAUAGCUGCUUGAAUGUUAAUUGCCUUGCAGGAACAGUUUUGUUGUUUAGCCCUUCGCAAGCCUUCCAGAGUCAGUCGUGAUACUGCUACAAGAUCCCAUAACAGUUUCACUGCCCUGUCACAUGCUUUCAAAGAAGGUGGAAGUUCCUGCCUGUUAGUCACAGGUGUUUCACUCUGCUGAGAGAUGCAUCCAGAGGUGGAUGAGACCUCUGCUGUGCCAAGAGUGCCAGAAUCAGUGGGUCACACUCUGCUCUGAGACUGUAGAGCUAGUCCUGCCAAAGCAUGCAAUGCUAGUUUGUCUGAAUAUUGAUGAUGUGGUGGGAGAAGCUGUUCUGCUUUCACUCCUCCUCUUCUAGACCUAUUGAUCUUUUUGUCUUGAUUCUGAAGUUUAUAGACCCCUGGCCUGGCCAUUGGAGAAAAUUAUCUAGCAAGCAAGCUGAUAUUCAGUGUGUACUUCCAAUACUGCGAAGGAGCGGAGGCAGCAUAAAGGGCAAAUAAAAGUAACCUCAGCAGUGACUCCAAAUCCUGGGUCUUACAGCAUAUUUCUUAGAGCUGUACAACAGGGACUUGAAGCAGCAUGCAGUCACAAUCAGACAGUUGGAACAGGUAAAUGCUGCCUCUGCUGAGCCUGAGCUUGGUGCCUGUGAACCUCAACAGGAGCCUCUUCUGCUUCUAUUCACCCUGGUAACGGCACAGAAGGGAAGUUUGGGAAUGUUGCUGGAUUGCUUCUUGUGAGUAGGCUUACAGGUCCCACAUCAACUUUCAAUCUGCAGCAAAUGAAGUGACUUAGGGGUUGUGCCACCAAGUUAUUUUGUGAUAAAGCAACUUGGAUUUGUGCACUGGAGUCUAGUUGUGUACAUUGCUGUGUAACCUUUGCUUUUGUCACUUGUAGAGGCUUGUGUUG
rnacentral:lncRNA from 1 species